AAUUAUAUUUUAUUAUUAUUUGCAUUUUCCACAAAUUAAAAACAAAAUGAAUUCCAAAUCAAAUCAUGCAGCAUAUGAUGCAGCUGAAAGUCAUCGUAAAAUAUUUAUUGGUGGAUUAAGUGUUACAACAACUGAUGAUACAUUGCGCGAGUUUUAUACUCAAUGGGGUGAAGUUAUUGAUUGUAUUGUUAUGAAGGAUCCUCAAACGAAAAAAUCACGUGGAUUUGGUUUUAUAACCUAUAAGGAACCUGAAGGUGUUGAUCAGGCUAUGCAAUCUAGACCUCAUAAUAUUGAUGGAAGGGAUGUUGAUCCUAAAAGAGCUGUGCCACGAGGAGAGUCUGGGAAAAAUGAGAUGUUAGUAACAUCAACUAAAUUAUAUGUUGGAGGUGUCAAAGAUGGUGUACCAAUUGAAGUUGAAGAUUUAAAAAAUCAUUUUUCACAAUAUGGAAAAAUAUUAGAAUGUGAUAUUAAACUUGAUAGUAGUGGCAAAAAAAGAGGUUUUGCUUUUAUUGCCUUUGAUGAUUAUGAUGCUGUUGACAAGGCUGUUUUACAUAAGCCCCAUAUAAUUAAUAAUGUUAAAUUAGCUGUAAAUAAAGCUAUGUCCAAAGAUGAAAGAAAUAAAAUGACAUUCUCAAAGAAUAAUAAUGCUCCUAAUAUGCCUAUGAAUAAUCGUAGACAAAGAAAUGAACCUAAUUUUUUUGAUGAUUUUGAUUACAAUUUUCAAAAUAUGAUGUUUGGUAAUGGUUUUAAUAUGGGAGGUCCUAUGAAUGGAAUGGGACCAAUGAAUCCUAUGAUGAUGGGUAUGGGAAAUAUGGGUUUAUUAGGUGAAGGUCCAAAUAACCCUAUGCCUUUAAUGGGAGGUUUUGAUAAUUUUAACUAUGACAAUAGUUUUGGUGGUGGACCAAUGAGAAACCCACGAUUUAACAACAACAAUAUGAAAAAUAAUAAUCGUCCUUAUAACACAGGAAAUGGAUAUAAGAACAAAGGUGGUUUUGGUGGUAAUAAAGGAAACAAUUCUAACUCAUCCCGCUUUUAAAAUUCUGAUCCUCUUUUUAUUCAUGGUUUAGUGAACGCUUGUGAUGAAAAACGAGAUGAUAUGCACGCAUACGAUAUAAAAACCACGAUAAUCUUGAUGAAGAACAGAUAUGUCAACAUUAUUUUAAAUAAUAUUUUCCAUACUAUCAACUGUACAACAGACGAUCUUACUAAAUUAAUUGUUAAUAACAAUUUUGAAACAUAACGAGGAAACAAGAUACGAUAAGGAUAACGAGUUUGCGCUAAAUUAAAAACGAUUUGACAAACAUACGUAGAUCAAAAAACGAUUAAAACAAACGAAAGACCUAUUCAACAACAACAAUGGCAAAAACGUUAAACAACGGAUUGGAAAAAGCUUAACGAUAUCUGCUCACUUCAAAUUAUUUAGAGAAAAUUUUAAUAAUAUUAAAAUAUUUAGUUAUAUUUGAGAAUCAUUUGUUGAAAACUUUUAUAAAUAAUUAAUUUAGAUUAUUCACAAAUUCAAUUUUAUAUUAAUUGACUGAGAAUGUAAGUUAACCUUGUAUUAUUUAUUAACUAAUAUAUUUAGAAGAUUGUGAGAAGAAGACAAUUAAUAUUAUUAUUAUAUAGAACCAUUUAAUAUUAUAGGGUAAUAAUUAAAAAGUUUUUUUGAAUUUACAUCAAUCCUAAAUACUUGAAAUCUAAUAAGUAUGUUGAGCGUACAAGUACGUGCGGCUUGCCCACAAACGUGUGGAGGGCUCCUCAUAUUUUAUUUUUAAUUAAUACACAAAUUAACUUUGUUCCAAUUAGAUGGAAAUGAGGAAAACCUAGCGUAGCUCUGUUGAUACUCCACGUUAGAGGGCAUAUGCGCUAUAUAAUAUAUCACGUAUCACGUAAUAAGUUUUUCAUUUUAUUGAGGCUAGGCGCUUAAUCACGUAAUUAUAUGAUUGUUAUUAAAAAAUUUAAUUUAUUGAAUCUAAGUGAUCACAUUGCUACAAAUAAAUCACUACUAAAAACAUUAGCUUUCCGAAAACAGAGGAGAAAAAGACAAAAUAUAAAUUUCACACAAUCUGCAAUGAAAGAGGGAGCGCCGAUCUUAUAAAUUAAUGUCAUUCAAAUGAAUAUAUGUCAUUUUCAAAUCUUAUCGUAAAUUAUGCCAAUUGAUUCGAAAACAUUAAAUACAUUAAAAAUCAAAUCAGGAGUUGUAAAGAGAUAUGCAAAUGAUAUCAAGAUGUAUAAAUAUGAAAUUGAAAAGCAAUCGCAAAAAAUAAAAACUAUGAAAAGUAAUAAUGAUGAUGAGUAUGAUAUAAGAAAACAAGAAGAAGUUUUGCAAGAAUCGGUAUCUAUGAUAUCACGAUCUAAAUACAAUUUUAUUAAUGCCUAUGAUGAUUUGAACAAUAUAAUGUCAAAUGUUGACAAAGAUACUCAGUCAGAAGAAUAUAUCAAUGCAGAAAAAAUAUUAACUGAUUUUUUAAUAAUUAAAAAUGAAAUAAAAUGUUAAUCAUUUUAGUUAUUUGUUUUAUGACAUAGUAUU